rnacentral:rRNA from 1 species
AUUGAACGCUGGCGGCAGGCCUAACACAUGCAAGUCGAGCGAGAGGCGGACGGGUGCGUAAUGUCUGGGAAACUGCCUGAUGGAGGGGGAUAACUCCUGGAACCGGUAGCUCAUACCGCAUACCCUCAGAUGUGCCCAGAUGGGAUUUGCUAGUGGGUGGGGUAACGGCGCACCUAGGCGACGAUCCCUAGCUGGUCUGAGAGGAUGACCAGCCACACUGGAAAGGAGACACGGUCCAGAAUCCUACGGGAGGCAGCAGUGGGGAAUAGUGCAAAAGGGGCGCAAGCCGGAUGCAGCAAUGCGGCGUGUGUGAAGAAGGCCUUAGGGUUGUAAAGCACUUUCAGCGGGGAGGCGUUAGCCGCAGAAGAAGCACCGGCUAACUCCGUGCCAGCAGCCGCGGUAAUAC